AUGUUGUUCACUGGAGCACACAAGAAAAAAAGAACAAAGACAUGGUAACCAGUACUAUUAUAUUAUGGAACAAAUUUACAUAAAAAAAAUAUAAUAAUUGCACAGUUCAAUAAAAAAUAUUGCAAUAAGGUACAAAAUUUAUCUUUGUAGAAACCAGAUAAUGAAAGCGACGUGACAUACAGCCCAGUAUGGUCACUGUUUCAAGCUUGUUUUCAUUUUUCAUUGUAAACAAUUAUUGAUUAAAAUUGUGCUAUGAUUUCAGGAGUGUCUUAAAACCCCUCUAAAACAGAGAGGAAGUUCCAAGAAAAUUUCUAAUGGAAGCUGCUGACAGAGAUAGAAAACACAGUUUGUUUAUCUCUAAUAAGGAGCUGGAGGUCGUGGAGAGAGUGGAGAGCCGUGCUGGAAACAUUCAGGGGUUGAUGCUCAUAAGUCCGGGGUAAAUAUACAGCAUGCUGCUAACUCUCCCACCACCUCUACUCUGUGUGGUUAUCUGCACAGGCCCGGUGUACCCAGGACGCGAUCUUCCCAGAUGUCCUUCACCCUAUUUCACAGUGUAAGACAUGAGCCAGGCCCUGGGCGACGACCUCUUCCCUCGUGUUCUUGAUAUUUCUGCACAGAUACCCGCGAUCCUGAAGUGUGAAGAGAGCCCCUAGAGCGGUCGUGCUUCACGCCGGGGUUUAACGACACCAUGCUGCGGCAGACAGAGACACUGAAGAGGGACUUCAGGAUGAUCAUCGUGUCAGGAACGGUUCCCACUUAUAAAUGAGGACACGAAAGGAGCAUCCUAGGCUUUUUCGCGGUGAUGGCCUGCUCCCAAGCAGAGUCGGAGUGGAGCUGCUCUCUGACAACAUCUCCAGGAAACUUUUCUCCAUAUGACUAGUAAGUCAAUUGUCAAAUAACUGCUAUGAUG